rnacentral:rRNA from 1 species
UACAGAGGUCUCAACCGUUGUUCGGAUUCAUUGGGCGUAAAGGGUGCGUAGGCGGUCGUGCAAGUCGGAUGUGAAAUCUCAGGGCUCAACCCUGAAACUGCAUUCGAUACUGCGCGGCUAGAGUGCUGGAGGGGAGACUGGAAUUUACGGUGUAGCAGUGAAAUGCGUAGAUAUCGUAAGGAAGACCAGUGGCGAAGGCGGGUCUCUGGACAGUUCCUGACGCUGAGGCACGAAGGUCAGGGGAGCAAACGGG